ACGGGAGGCAGCAGUGGGGGAUAUUGCGCAAUGGGGGGAACCCUGACGCAGCAACGCCGCGUGAAGGAAGACGGUUUUCGGAUUGUAAACUUCUUUAAGUGUGGAAGAAGAUGACGGUACACACAGAAUAAGCCACGGCUAACUACGUGCCAGCAGCCGCGGUAAUACGUAGGUGGCGAGCGUUGUCCGGAUUUACUGGGUGUAAAGGGCGUGUAGGCGGGAUUACAAGUCAGAUGUGAAAUACCGAGGCUUAACUUCGGGGCUGCAUUUGAAACUGUAGUUCUUGAGUGCUGGAGAGGAAAGCGGAAUUCCUAGUGUAGCGGUGAAAUGCGUAGAUAUUAGGAAGAACACCAGUGGCGAAGGCGAUCUACUGGACGAUAACUGACGCUGAGGCGCGAAAGCGUGGGGAGCAAACAGGAUUAGACACCCUGGUA
rnacentral:rRNA from 1 species